rnacentral:rRNA from 1 species
AUUGAACGCUGGCGGCAGGCCUAACACAUGCAAGUCGAGCGGUUGACGGGAGCUUGCUCCCUGAUUCAGCGGCGGACGGGUGAGUAAUGCCUAGGAAUCUGCCUAUUAGUGGGGGACAACGUUUCGAAAGGAACGCUAAUACCGCAUACGUCCUACGGGAGAAAGCAGGGGACCUUUGGGCCUUGCGCUAAUAGAUGAGCCUAGGUCGGAUUAGCUUGUUGGUGAGGUAAUGGCUCACCAAGGCGACGAUCCGUAACUGGUCUGAGAGGAUGAUCAGUCACACUGGAACUGGGACACGGUCCAGACUCCUUCGGGAGGCAGCAGUGGGGAAGAUUGGACAAUGGGCGAAAGCCUGAUCCAGCCAUGCCGCGUGUGUGAAGAAGGUCUUCGGAUUGUAAAGCACUUUAAGUUGGGAGGAAGGGUUGUAGAUUAAUACUCUGCAAUUUUGACGUUACCGACAGAAUAAGCACCGGCUAACUCUGUGCCAGCCGCCGCGGUAA